CAAGUUUGGGGCCAAAACUCCUUCCGAAAAAAAGUUUAAAAAAUCCUGAGCAGCAAAAAGUUUCAAAAAUCAUGAAAAAUUGAAAACGAGUCGUCUUGCCAUGAAACUACACGUGAAGGCUUAAGGGACCAUUGUAUGAAUUUACAAGCCAUAAAAAUGGCAUUGGCACGUAGAAAUAUAAAGAUGUGCCUAAACCCACC
rnacentral:lncRNA from 1 species